rnacentral:rRNA from 2 species
AUUGAACGCUGGCGGCAGGCUUAACACAUGCAAGUCGAACGAUGAUUAUCUAGCUUGCUAGAUAUGAUUAGUGGCGGACGGGUGAGUAACAUUUAGGAAUCUGCCUAGUAGUGGGGGAUAGCUCGGGGAAACUCGAAUUAAUACCGCAUACGACCUACGGGUGAAAGGGGGCGCAAGCUCUUGCUAUUAGAUGAGCCUAAAUCAGAUUAGCUAGUUGGUGGGGUAAAGGCCCACCAAGGCGACGAUCUGUAACUGGUCUGAGAGGAUGAUCAGUCACACCGGAACUGAGACACGGUCCGGACUCCUACGGGAGGCAGCAGUGGGGAAUAUUGGACAAUGGGGGCAACCCUGAUCCAGCCAUGCCGCGUGUGUGAAGAAGGCCUUUUGGUUGUAAAGCACUUUAAGCAGGGAGGAGAGGCUAAUGGUUAAUACCCAUUAGAUUAGACGUUACCUGCAGAAUAAGCACCGGCUAACUCUGUGCCAGCAGCCGCGGUAAUACAGAGGGUGCGAGCGUUAAUCGGAAUUACUGGGCGUAAAGCGAGUGUAGGUGGCUCAUUAAGUCACAUGUGAAAUCCCCGGGCUUAACCUGGGAACUGCAUGUGAUACUGGUGGUGCUAGAAUAUGUGAGAGGGAAGUAGAAUUCCAGGUGUAGCGGUGAAAUGCGUAGAGAUCUGGAGGAAUACCGAUGGCGAAGGCAGCUUCCUGGCAUAAUAUUGACACUGAGAUUCGAAAGCGUGGGUAGCAAACAGGAUUAGAUACCCUGGUAGUCCACGCCGUAAACGAUGUCUACUAGCCGUUGGGGUCCUUGAGACUUUAGUGGCGCAGUAACGCGAUAAGUAGACCGCCUGGGGAGUACGGCCGCAAGGUUAAAACUCAAAUGAAUUGACGGGGGCCCGCACAAGCGGUGGAGCAUGUGGUUUAAUUCGAUGCAACGCGAAGAACCUUACCUGGUCUUGACAUAGUGAGAAUCCUGCAGAGAUGCGGGAGUGCCUUCGGGAAUUCACAUACAGGUGCUGCAUGGCUGUCGUCAGCUCGUGUCGUGAGAUGUUGGGUUAAGUCCCGCAACGAGCGCAACCCUUUUCCUUAUUUGCCAGCGGGUUAAGCCGGGAACUUUAAGGAUACUGCCAGUGACAAACUGGAGGAAGGCGGGGACGACGUCAAGUCAUCAUGGCCCUUACGACCAGGGCUACACACGUGCUACAAUGGUAGGUACAGAGGGUUGCUACACAGCGAUGUGAUGCUAAUCUCAAAAAGCCUAUCGUAGUCCGGAUUGGAGUCUGCAACUCGACUCCAUGAAGUCGGAAUCGCUAGUAAUCGCAGAUCAGAAUGCUGCGGUGAAUACGUUCCCGGGCCU